CGGCGAUCAGAGAAGGGGCAGCGAAUAUUCAAGCUACGCAUAGCGGCAUUGCUUGUUGCUCUUCUCAUUGGUUUCACCUUAUUGGUUUCCCUGGCCCAGGCUCGAUCACCUCCUACCGCCGUGACAUAGCUGGGAUGCUGCUGACUGGCGUAAAACAAUACUCACUCACUCACUCAACACGAGGCACAAGAAUGUGAACCUACCAAUCCAGAAUCUAUCGGAAGCAUCCGCUAUGCCGUCAUUGAACAUAUUGGCGUCGGCCUCGACCUUUGCAAUGCUGGUGACCUUGCCGCUCUCCCAGAGGCUCCACGCAUGAAACAUGAUGACAUGACAGUUCAGACAUUCGGUAUACUGAUGGACAGAAAUAAGGAACGACUGUGUUUGUCACCCGAAAAUUGUUUGGCAAUGCAGAGAAUACACCAGGUACCGCUUCAAUGAAAAAUAAUUCGUUGACAUUUCUUAACA
rnacentral:misc_RNA from 1 species